GGGGCGGUAGCUCAGAGGGAGAGCGUCCGUUUCGCAAGCGGAAGGUCGCCGGUUCAAGUCCGGUCCGCUCCA
rnacentral:tRNA from 2 species